rnacentral:rRNA from 1 species
UACCAGCACCCCGAGUGGUCGGGACGAUUAUUGGGCCUAAAGCAUCCGUAGCCGGUCCUACAAGUCUUCCGUUAAAUCCACCUGCUUAACAGAUGGGCUGCGGAAGAUACUAUAAGGCUAGGAGGCGGGAGAGGCAAGCGGUACUCAGUGGGUAGGGGUAAAAUCCUCUGAUCCAUUGAAGACCACCAGUGGCGAAGGCGGCUUGCCAGAACGCGCUCGACGGUGAGGGAUGAAAGCUGGGGGAGCAAACCGG